GUCGCGCNAAUACGUAGAAGACUAGUGUUAUUCAUCUUUAAUAGGUUUAAAGGGUACCUAGAUGGCAGAUAAAGCCCUUGCAUAGCAUGACGGAACUAAUUUGCUAGAGUUACUUACGCGGGGGUUUUAAAGUACUAAUGGUGUAGAGAUAAAAUUUUGUAAUACCAUUUUUCGAAAGAAAAGUUUUGGCACUGGUAAAGGCGAAAGCAUCCCCUUAUGUGAUAACUGACAUUGAAGGACGAAGGCUUUGGAUCGCGAAUAGGAUUAGAUACCCUAGUAGUCGAAGCAGAAAAUUAUGAGUGUCAUAGAUUAGAGGUUAAACUUUAUUCUGUAAAUGAAAGUGUAAGCACUCCACCUCAAGAGUAAUUUGGCAACAUUGGAACUGAAAUCAUUAGACCGUUUCUGAAACCAGUAGUGAAGUAUGUUGUUUAAUUAGAUAAUCCGCUAAAAACCUUACCACAGCUUGAAUGUUUAUAUGUUUCAUAUAUUCACAAGUGUUGCACGGCUGUCUUCAGUUAAUGUCGUGAGACUUUGGUUAGAUCCAUUAAAUUAACGCAAGCCCUUACUUUAUUUUUAAAUAAAGUCGUUCCCCACUAUAUUGGAUAUGAUAACAGGGACUAAGACAAGUCCUCAUGGCCUGAAUGCUGUGGGCUA
rnacentral:rRNA from 1 species